rnacentral:misc_RNA from 1 species
AAGUCGUAACAAGGUUUCCGUAGGUGAACCUGCGGAAGGAUCAUUAACAAGUAUCCAACGUUAAACCCCCCCGUGAAUAUUAAGCGUGCUCUUGCUGCCCGGUCAAUGCAAUCCCGGUAAAUCAUGUCGAACAGUAUUGAUUCAGGGACUUCUGCCCGACUGAGAAGUUACAGCGGCAAUGGUUUGGUUUCCCCUCAAAUUCACUUCAAUGAAUGAAAGUGUCAUUGAAGUGUGAUGGGGAGAACGCUUAGCGAUCACUGUAGGCCAACACUGGCCGGUGUCCAGACCGCCGGGCGCAAGCCCCCUUAUCACCACAUGUCAGCGUAGGCCCUUCUGUCGUGGUUGGGCAUUAAAACGAACAACUGUUAACAAUGGAUAUCUUGGUUCUC